CGAGGGUUGUCGCUGGCCUCGAAAGAGGCAUGUGCACGCCCGAGCUCUUAAAUCCACAACACACCUGUGAACCCACCGUAGGCCUUCGGGCUUAUGUAUCAUAUACUCUGAAUGUGUCAUAGAAUGUUCAUGUUGCCUUAAAACGCAAUCAAAUACAACUUUCAACAACGGAUCUCUUGGCUCUCGCAUCGAUGAAGAACGCAGCGAAAUGCGAUAAGUAAUGUGAAUUGCAGAUUUUCAGUGAAUCAUCGAAUCUUUGAACGCACCUUGCGCUCCUUGGUAUUCCGAGGAGCAUGCCUGUUUGAGUGUCAUUAAAUUCUCAACCCCACCGAUUUGCUUCGGGGGGAUUGGACUUGGAGCGUGCUGGCGAAGGUCGGCUCCUCUUUAAAUGCAUCAGUGGAGAGAAACUUGCCCCAGUGUGAUAAUCCUGUUGCGCUGUGGUGGGGUGAAAGUCUGCUUCCAACCGUCCCUCCGGGGACAUAUGUCAUCUUAUUUUGACCUCAAAUCAGGUAGGACUACCCGCUGAACUUAAGCAUAU
rnacentral:misc_RNA from 1 species